rnacentral:rRNA from 1 species
CUCCUACGGGAGGCAGCAGUAGGGAAUAUUGCACAAUGGGCGCAAGCCUGAUGCAGCAACGCCGCGUGCGCGACGAAGGCCUUCGGGUCGUAAAGCGCUUUUCGGGGAGAUGAGCACGGA